CCCUUAGAUGUCCUGGGCUGCACGCGCGCUACACUGAUGUGUCCAGUAAGCACCUAACCUCUUCCGAAAGGAACGGGUAACCUUUGCAAAGCACAUCGUGAUGGGAAUAGAUUAUUGCAAUUAUUAGUCUUGAACGAGGAAUUCCUAGUAAGCACAAGUCAUCAGCUUGUGUUGAUUACGUCCCUGCCCUUUGUACACACCGCCCGUCGCUCCUACCGAUUGAAUGUUCCGGUGAGCUCUUCGGACUGCGCGGUCUGCAGUUUCUGCGUUCCGUGCGGAAAGUUGCGCAAACCUUAACAUUUAGAGGAAGGAGAAGUCGUAACA
rnacentral:rRNA from 1 species